GAAAAUUUUGUGACUAUUGAAGCUAGUCUUAAACAGAAAGGUCACAAGUCUCAAAGAGAGGAAUUGGAUGCUAUACUUUUUAUUUUUGAGUUUUGUAACCUAAGCGCACUACUUAA